CCGCGGUAAUACGGAGGAUCCGAGCGUUAUCCGGAAUUAUUGGGUUUAAAGGGUUCGUAGGCGGCUUUGUAAGUCAGUGGUGAAAUUUUCUAGCUUAACUAGGACACGGCCAUUGAUACUGCGGAGCUUGAAUAAUAUGGAAGUAACUAGAAUAUGUAGUGUAGCGGUGAAAUGCUUAGAUAUUACAUGGAAUACCAAUUGCGAAGGCAGGUUACUACGUAUUUAUUGACGCUGAUGAACGAAAGCGUGGGGAGCGAACAGGAUUAGAUACCCUGGUAGUCCACGCCGUAAACGAUGGAUACUAGCUGUUCGGACUUCGGUCUGAGUGGCUAAGCGAAAGUGAUAAGUAUCCCACCUGGGGAGUACGUUCGCAAGAAUGAAACUCAAAGGAAUUGACGGGGGCCCGCACAAGCGGUGGAGCAUGUGGUUUAAUUCGAUGAUACGCGAGGAACCUUACCAGGGCUUAAAUGUAGAUUGACAGAUUUGGAAACAGAUUUUUCUUCGGACAAUUUACAAGGUGCUGCAUGGUUGUCGUCAGCUCGUGCCGUGAGGUGUCAGGUUAAGUCCUAUAACGAGCGCAACCCCUAUUGUUAGUUACCAGCGCGUUAAGGCGGGGACUCUAGCAAGACUGCCGGUGCAAACCGUGAGGAAGGUGGGGAUGACGUCAAAUCAUCACGGCCCUUACGUCCUGGGCUACACACGUGCUACAAUGGCAAGUACAGAAAGCAGCUACCUGGCAACAGGAUGCGAAUCUCCAAAGCUUGUCUCAGUUCGGAUUGGAGUCUGCAACUCGACUCUAUGAAGCUGGAAUCGCUAGUA
rnacentral:rRNA from 1 species